rnacentral:rRNA from 1 species
GUAGGUGGCAAGCGUUGUCCGGAAUUAUUGGGCGUAAAGCGCGCGCAGGCGGUUCUUUAAGUCUGAUGUGAAAGCCCACGGCUCAACCGUGGAGGGUCAUUGGAAACUGGAGAACUUGAGUACAGAAGAGGAAAGCGGAAUUCCACGCGUAGCGGUGAAAUGCGUAGAGAUGUGGAGGAACACCAGUGGCGAAGGCGGCUUUCUGGUCUGUAACUGACGCUGAGGCGCGAAAGCGUGGGGAGCAAACAGGAUUAGAUACCCUGGUAGUCCACGCCGUAAACGAUGAGUGCUAAGUGUUAGGGGGGUUUUCCGCCCCCCUUAGUGCUGCAGCUAACGCAUUAAGCACUCCGCCUGGGAGUACGGCCGCAAGGCUG